rnacentral:rRNA from 1 species
UUGAUCCUGGCUCAGGAUGAACGCUAGCGGCAGGCCUAACACAUGCAAGUCGAGGGGUAAGGUUCAGCUUGCUGAACACACGACCGGCGCACGGGUGAGUAACACGUUUGCAACCUACCUCUAACUGGGGGAUAGCCCGAAGAAAUUCGGAUUAAUACCCCAUAAGGUCAAUUUGAGGCAUCUCAAAUUGAUUAAAGCUCCGGCGGUUAGAGAUGGGCAUGCGUGUCAUUAGCUAGUUGGUGAGGUAACGGCUCACCAAGGCCACGAUGACUAGGGGGUCUGAGAGGAUGAUCCCCCACACUGGUACUGAGACACGGACCAGACUCCUACGGGAGGCAGCAGUGAGGAAUAUUGGGCAAUGGACGCAAGUCUGACCCAGCCAUGCCGCGUGCAGGAUGACUGCCCUAUGGGUUGUAAACUGCUUUUGUUUGGGAAGAACUCCCCGAUCGUGAUCGGGGCUGACGGUACCUUACGAAUAAGCAUCGGCUAACUCCGUGCCAGCAGCCGCGGUAAUACGGAGGAUGCAAGCGUUAUCCGGAUUCAUUGGGUUUAAAGGGUGCGCAGGCGGAAUAUUAAGUCAGUGGUGAAAUCCUGCAGCUUAACUGUAGAACUGCCAUUGAUACUGGUAUUCUUGAAUGUAGUUGAGGUGGGCGGAAUGUGUAAUGUAGCGGUGAAAUGCUUAGAUAUUACACAGAACACCAAUUGCGAAGGCAGCUCACUAAACUAUGAUUGACGCUGAGGCACGAAAGCGUGGGUAGCAAACAGGAUUAGAUACCCUGGUAGUCCACGCCGUAAACUAUGAUCACUCGCUGUUGGCAAUACAUCGUCAGCGGCUGAGCGAAAGCAUUAAGUGAUCCACCUGGGGAGUACGGUCGCAAGAUUGAAACUCAAAGGAAUUGACGGGGGCCCGCACAAGCGGAGGAACCUGUGGUUUACUUCGAUGAUACGCGAGGAACCUUACCUGGGCUUAAAU